rnacentral:rRNA from 1 species
CCUACGGGUGGCAGCAGUAGGGGAUAUUGCUCAAUGGGGGGAACCCUGAUGCAGCGACGCCGCGUGGGUGAUGGAGCUUUUCGGCUCGUAAAGCCCUAUCGGUAGAGAAGAUGGUGGAGGGUACCUAACUAUAAAGCCCCGCCUAACUACGUGCCAGCAGCCGCGGUAAUAGGGAGGGGGCAAGCGUUCUCCGGAUUUACUGGCGGUAAAGGGGGCGCAGACGGGAGAGAAAGCCAGGUGUGAAAGCCUGGGGCCUAACAACGGGACUGCUUUUGGAACUGUGCGGCUGGAGUGUGGGAGGGGUAGGUGGAAUUCUUGGUGUAGGGGUAAAAUGCGUAGAGAUCAAGAGGAAUACUGGUGGCGAAGGCGGCCUGCUGGA